UGUUUUUCGAAUAGUAAAAUAAACAUGUCAAGAGAAAAAAUAGUGAUCUUAUUUAUAGAAAGCUACUAAAGUAUGAAUAAAUACCUACGCAAGAGUAACAUAACAACAUAAAAUGUACUAAUUAAGGUUCAAUGGACUGGCACUGGUUUCACCAAGAACGAUGAGCGAGAAGCGAUUGGAGCUACAAAAUAAGAAAUGAGUUGGCGCGCGAGCAGCGAGAAGCGAGUAUAGUUCUGUUGCAUGGUCUCUCCGACCGCCAAGCGAACAUCGCUUCGCGAGUACCUACCGCUGAGCGAUUUUAUCGUUGACAGCUUGUAUCGCUGCGAGUAAAGAGUGUAAUAGUGCACUGCCUUAUGGGAAUUUAGUUCAGAUUUGGAAACCGCUACCAACUUUUAGUAUGUUGUUGGACAUGGCAUUGGGUCUCGAAAACUGCCGGGAAACAGCGGCGCCGACCAUCUACUUCAUUCAGCCUCGAUUAGCCUUUUAUAGAAGCAAAUUUUAACUACGAGCGUAGCGAGUAGUUCGAAAAGUGGAAUCUUGAGUGUUGCAAGGGCUUCAAGGCUGUGAAGGCUGGCAGUAUUUUCCCUCUGAUCCUCUGAAAUACAUACAGGUCAGCCCUCUGGUCAUUUGAAACCUCCAUAAGGCAUCUUGCUAACUCAUAGAGGCGACGCCCGCUAAGCCCCUAACAGUUACUCUAUGGCCUGAGGGUUUCAAUGUUAGAGAAAUUAUGUACUACCUACUGCUUUUUAUUUCUCUUAGAGUCUGUGCGGAGAGAGACGACUCAUAGAAUGUAUUGAUUCCCUUAUCUUCCACGACUCUUCUCUUUCCGCACAGAGUUUAUAGUUUAUAUUUGUAGUGCCAGGCAAUGAUAAUAAAGGUCUAAUUAAUUUUAAUCUUUUGCUCGACUACGGCAGAAUUUGCUGUCUAUGCGUGCAUGUACUGUUUACAUGAAACUACUGAACUUAUUUAAUAAAUGAGGUGUCAAUUCAUUCGUGUUUGUAGCCCAGGUGACAAAAGCCACAUUUUAACCAACUAUCAAAGGAGGAAGGUACAGUUCGUUUGCUUGUUUAACAAGCAAAUUCAAUUUAUAAAUUAAGAUUCCAGUCGAAAAUGUCGUUUUCAUGUAUUUUAUGUAAUGUCCUUUCAUUUAAUACUCGAUAAUUAGAACAAUUCUUUGCAUAAUAAGAGCGCAUUAAGAUAGAAUUGUACAAUUGUUGGCGCGCUUUAGUUUUUUUUCUACAACUUUCACAGUUUUUAUCGGAAAUUUAAAAUUUAAAUUGUAAUGUAUAGUUGAAUAACUGGUUUCUUUAAUAUUAUACGCAACAUUUUAUUAACGUUUUUAGUUUAGCCAGGGGUGCGAAACUCCUGACUUCGGCCAAACUCGGCUCCGCUCGGCUCAGCAUUGCUCCGAGCAAUUAUUAGGGUUGGCACCACUUGACUUCCUUUUGCAUGCACGACCACAGAUAAGAUAAUCACUUGAAUUUUGACAACCCUAAAUAGCAGAAAGAGAUAGUGCCAUAUAUUAGAAAGGGAUAGCAUGAUUCGACCCUGAACCGCUGUCAAACUUCGGUUUUGUAGGAAGUUUCCUUUCUGUACGAUAGUACUAUUAUUUGAGUCGCUUAAGUUCAAACUCGGGUAAAUCCAUCUGUCAGAUUAUGCGAUUUUGGUAUUAAGAAAAGGUAAUAGGGUAGAUAUUUGCUGAGAGGGUCGAAUGGAUUUACCCGAGUUUGAAGUUAAGCGACACAUUUAUUCUGUGGUUUAGCUAUAAAAUCGAUAUACACCUACUUUUUUCAUAAAAAAUGGUAUUCCUGUGUUUAUAGCUCUUAAACCAUUUUUUUUUCUGCAAACAAUGUUUAGGUGACUUAUAAUACAUUUCAUUUCAUAAUUUCCACAUAUUUGGUCAAAUUUGGAUUUUUUUGAUAUCAUUGUAUGCCUUGAGAUGUCAUCUUUAAUGUUGUGGUACAUUUCUUUAACGUCCGACUUUUGGUUUGGUUAUAAAAUCCAAAUAAUCGAAUAUUUUUUUACCUCAUUUUGUUUAUUUUGUAAAUAGCUCUUAAACUGUUGUAUAUUUUGGUACACACUGUAUAAAUGAAGUAUAGAAUAUUUCAUUAGCUUUCAUUUAAUACCCCACACGUGUAUGUGCCAUGCAUAGUUUGGGUGCAAUAUGCAAUAUUCGCAACGAGACGGGAGUCAUUUUGAUGAUAUCAUUCCGCUGAAGGCCUGAAGUAGAUGGCCGGCGCCGCUGUCUCCCGGCAGUUUUGGAGACCCAAUACCAUGCGCAACAACAUACUAAAAGUUGGUAGCGGUUUCCGGAUCUGAGCUAUCUCUUCGACUGUUUCCCAUAAGGCAUAGUACUUUAAAGAGAGUCCUCGUGCAAUGUGAACAGCCAGCGAUCCACUAUUAAUAUACCUAUCUAUCUCUUUUACCGACACGGAAUCUCUAUCUUAUCGCUUACGGGUCAUUUUAUUUAAAGUUGUCCCCUACACUUUUUUUUUAAUAUGGGAAAUUUUAUGUUAUUUCUACUCAGAAUCACGAGCUCUUUCUAUCCUAAUAGAAGAAAAAAAGUGUGCCAAGGUUUUUAUUUCCAUUCCGGUACCAUUUUUCAUAGACUUUGUAUGGCAGUCACGGAAUGUAAAGAUCGAAAAUUUUAUGGGAAUUUCGGGACACUUUUUUUCUCCUAUUACGAUCAAAAAAAGCUCAUGAUUCUGAGUAGAAAUAACAUAAAAAAUCCCAAAUAUGAAAAUGAAAGUGUAUGGGACAACUUUAAAUAAAAUGGCCCUUACACGUCCUUGAACUAGUGCAUAUCCAUCCAUACUAAUAUUAUAAAGGCGAAAGUGUGGCUGUCUGUCUGUCUGUUACCUCUUCACGCUUAAGCCGCUGAACCGAUUUAUUUGAAAUUUGGUAUAGAGAUUGUUUGAGUCCCGAGGAAGGACAUAGGAUAGUUUUUAUUCCAGAAAUCAUCCCUUAAAGGGGUGGUGUUUUGUAUGGGGACUUAACACCAACUGCACAUCAAACUUUGUCAAUAGGAACUGUCCCGCCCGCGCGGUGUAGUACCGGCGCUGGUGCACGAUUUAGUUGGGUAUAGAAUAGGGUUUACUAACGAAUGGGCCAAAAACGUUUCCCAAAGUAUCACAUCCCAAACUAUGUUUCCCAAAUUAUCAUUUCCCAAAAAAAUGUUUGGCAAAACAACUUAUCGCAAUUUUUCAGUUAGCAAUAGUCUUUUUUGGCAAGUUAUUGUUUAGCAAAUAAUUACUUGGACAAGUUUCAUUUUACCAAGUAUUAUUUAGUCAAAUAAGCAUAACAUUGCAUGGCAUACAGUUUACAUACCAAUAGAUAUUUUUAUUUUUGUUUUAUUUGAAAUACUUAAUCCCGACCUUGGUAUUUUUAUCAUUUUGGUUAUGUUUUACGCAUAGGGGGAAGCGGGGCAGAUAGGCACAAGGGGCAGUUUUGAACACCCACACUAAUUCCUUAACUAAAAACUUAUGUUCACCUUCUGCAACACUAAAACGUGGCUUUGUAUGUGUGAUUGAGGUACCAGCUUCGGCACAUCUCUCCUGCCAGCCGUUGCCGCUUAGUGCGUGAAAACGUGUAGUCCGGUGGCCGGCUGCAUGAAACAAACCUCAUCAAAAAAUAGAAUAUACCUACCCUGUAGAGGUACCUGACAUUUAGUAGCUUCCAACGCACUUGGUCGGCCUAGGCUUAACCUGGCAGAUUUUGUACAAAUGGCAAAAACGUUGGACAAAAAUUCAUCAAAAAAAACCUCAUCGAAAAAUAGAAUGAAACUUGUAUGGUAGUAUACCUGACCUUGAGGACAGUAAAAAAAAAGUGGUCGGCCUCACCUUAGCCUGGCAGUUUUUGCAGUCCGACCAGAUUUAUUGGGUCACGUGAGAGCUACAAUUUACCUCAUCGAAAAAUAGAAUGAAACAAACGGAUUAUAAUAGCUAAAAUAAGCCUGUUGACGUAUGUCUUGGUCGGCCUCACCUUAACCUGGCAGUUUUUGCAGUCCGACCAAAUUUAUAAAAAAAUAAUCAAAAAUUUUUUAUCGAAAAAUCGU